UAUGGUCCUUAUAUUUUAAGAUUUUCGGAUUUAUUUAAUUUUUAAAUUUUUAAAGUCUUAGAUUUAAUGAUUUUUUUCAAUUUUUUUACAGGUUCAAAUUUUAUGCAGCCGAUGCUGGGAGAUCGUGAGAAUUGUUUGUUGAUGUCCAGCUCGUGCCAUUCGAUGUGGUCAAAUUCGAUGACCAUAAUCCGUUGCCGUUGUCCAGAGACCGCUUCUAUGUUUUUGGCCGAUUGCGACGUCGUCGUCGGCAUUAAACUAAGACCGGAUCAUCUCGAAGAAGGAAAUUUAACUCCGAUGUGCAGCAGGAAGAGUUGAUUUCAAAAUCUUUAGAUGAUAUCCAGCCUAAGUGUUUUCCAUUUUAAAUUUUAGUACAAAACGUCGAAGGAAAAGGUGGUUUGGCAGAAUACUCCUGCGCGUCAUCCUACCGAGGACGAUCCUGACGCUCAAGAACAAAACGAAGAAACGGGAACGGGAACAGCUGGAUCGUAUACAACUGAUCGAGCCUCAUCUGGACCAGAUAUGGAUAUCACGUUUGACGAAUAGGAAGAAACAAGCCAUGAUCAACGUCCCGCUGGAAACUCUUGGUGGCAAGGAAAAGCUACUGGGAUUUUACCUUAACGGACUUUUCAUGCCCCGACGUGUGUCCCAAUCUGGCUCUGUGAAAUUGGUCUGCUAAAAGUCAGAAUCAAACUAAACAGUGACGCCAAGGAGAAACUUCCCACCUGCCGAUUGUCAAGGCGCCCGCCUUUUGCUCAAGUCUGACCGACCGUAAUUCUUUGAGUUGAAGCUGCGCCCGACGUCCGGCCGCGCCGGAUGUACGUCAACUGAUUGGCUCUAAGUGCUGAUCCUAACGGCAGCGGCUCUGAUGCCUGAUGCACGUUCAUCAUGACCACGAACCACCUGCUUACGCUGCGCAAAUACAUUAGGGACGAAAUUAACCAAGAUUGUAAUCCACAUUACUCCUACAUCUUAGUGUGAAUUAAUUGUAGGUUCAAAAACGAAAAUAAAAGUAUUUUUUUGCGAAUAAACUGUUUUCUGAUAUUAUUUACCAUUCCGAAAUUGUUUUGAGCUAUAACGGUCAAUUUGAAAAGCAAAAUAUCGACGCUAUAUCGAUACUUUGCAAAUUGCAUACAUUUCGGCGCAUUCAGACCAAGAUAGUUAUGUUGCCGAAAUCGACAACAUUUUUUAUCGAUAUCGUUGCAAAUGUUACCGGACGACUGGUCGAAAACAUUCUGAAACGAAUUUUAGAACGA